rnacentral:rRNA from 1 species
GACAGAGGGUGCAAACGUUGUUCGGAAUUACUGGGCGUAAAGCGAGUGUAGGCGGUUUGGUAAGUCGGAAGUGAAAGCCCUGGGCUCAACCCAGGAAGUGCACUCGAAACUGCCAAGCUAGAGUAUCGGAGAGGUUGGUGGAAUUCUCGGUGUAGAGGUGAAAUUCGUAGAUAUCGAGAGGAACACCGGUGGCGAAGGCGGCCAACUGGACGAAUACUGACGCUGAGACUCGAAAGCGUGGGGAGCAAACAGG